GCUUCAUCAAGAAGAACCCGACUGGAAAAUGAACCCAUUUCAAAUCCCAAAAAAUCCAAGCUCAAAUUAUGGUAGGCUCGAAUCAAUUGAGCUUGAAGCUUCAUCAAGAAGAACCUAAUUGGAAAAUGAACCCACUUCAAAUCCCAAAAUUUCCAAGCUCAAAUUCCAGUUAAUCAUUGCAGCCACUCUCAUAGUCUUCUUUACAGUUUCUGCUGCACUCAUAAUGGGGCUCCAACCAGAGCAAAUUUCGGGUCAAUGCACCGGAGCCAAGCCAUAACCAAGACCUACAGCCGGACUCGCUAUCCCGUUCUAUGUCAACACACUCAUGAACUUCCACGUCUUAAAUAGAUUCCAACUCAACCAAUCGGCCAUCUCAAGUCCCACCACCGCGACCUCCGCCAAAUCCAGUAGCAAGUCCAUCCCAACCACCAGCAUUGCCAUAUCUACCACCGGCACUACCAUCGGCUGUACCUCCACCGCCAUUGGUUUCAGCCCAACACUUCCACUGACUAUGGGAGUUUUUUGGAGUCGAGGGUUUUGAUUUGGAGCUGUGAGGUUUUGAGCGUAUUUAAUACGUGAUUAAAUGUUUCAAUUAAUUUGAAGAGUACUAUUCAAAAUUCUCAUUUUUAGGGGGUAUUUGGCCUAAUUUUCCCAUCUUUGUUUUACCUCAUAACCUGCCAAAGCCGAUUUCAUUAUCCCCAAAAGGUGGAAGCCCUAAAGAAAAAUAGGGAAAAAUAAGCUGCUCCACUUCAUCUCCGACCUCACGAGCAUCAGAGCUGAGCAUCGGCUGUUCGAGCGACCGACAUUCUCUUCUCCAACCACUCUAGCAGUUGAUUCCAUUUCCCAACCAAGCAGCUUCACUCUCUUCUCCAGCCCACUCGAGUUGUCAGACACACACAAGUUUCACAGAGAAUAUUGUUGCUGUGGACUGAGUUUAUCGUCGACGGUGGAAAUCAGUUGGUGUUCGUGGACGAAGGUGAAGAUACCUGGUUGUUGUAGACUGAGUUGACAAAUAAUGCGGCGUUUGUGGACGUUGGUGAAGAUGAACGACCCGAUUUCAGUGUGCGUUCGGUGUUUGAAGAUCUGGCCACAUUUAAAAUCGCCGGUCAGAAGUUGAGAAGGAUGGUGGCGCCAGUUAGAGGUUGAAGGAAAGGUGAUUCUAGGGUUCCCAAUUUCAAGUGGAGAGGCUGACGGGAAUGAAAUGAAGGAAAUCAUUGGAGACGUUUGCUUUGUCCUUUUUUUUUUUUUUUUUUUUUCCUUUUUUAAUUCUCAGCUGACACGUCAUUCUCUGAAGACUCUGUAAAGAAUGCUUUUGUACGUCUAGUAGCACUGAGUUUGUAAACAUGUCAACUCACGAUGGGGUGGGCAUACCACAUGGGAUGGUAUGCCCGCCCCACACAAGAUUUUCUCCUAUCCAGCACAUAAGAGCACAUAAGUGAAAAUUUCUAAAGAAACCCAGUUAUACCAAUAAAUCUGAUAUUUUUCUGCUU